GCCGUUGUGGCUCAGCGGUUAGAGCAUCUGCCUGGGCACUGAAGGGCCUCAGGUUCGAUUCCUGGUCAAGAGCA
rnacentral:tRNA from 1 species